GUUUUAAUAGUUCAAUAUUAAAUAUUGUUAUUUCCCUGACAUUUUUCUCGAUAUUAAACCAAGCAGCUAAUAUUUUCCUAGAAUUUAUAUUGAGAACAACCUAUUGUACAAGGGAUCCCACUACAGAUUUUCCAUUAUAAUAUGCAAAUUAUACAUUUUCCAGAAUCGUCUGAAAUGAAAUUUGAUUACCCGCUAAACAAUAACUAUUAUUAUUAUUACUCAUAGAAUGUUAUUUCAAGUAAUAUUAUGUUUAAUGUGGGUAUACUGCAGAGCAUACUCGCUGUAUAUGUCAGGCUUAAUUAUUAAUUUAUCAUUAUUUAAAUUUCAAACUAAAUUAUAUUCAUGCACUUCAAAAUCAACGAGAAUAAAUAUUAUUGGCUUUAACUAUUAUUAAUAUCCCUG